UGAGGAAUAUUGGUCAAUGAGCGAGAGCCUGAACCAGCCAAGUAGCGUGAAGGAUGACUGCCCUAUGGGUUGUAAACUUCUUUUAUAAAGGAAUAAAGUCGGGUAUGCAUACCCGUUUGCAUGUACUUUAUGAAUAAGGAUCGGCUAACUCCGUGCCAGCAGCCGCGGUAAUACGGAGGAUCCGAGCGUUAUCCGUAUUUAUUGGGUUUAAAGGGAGCGUAGAUGGAUGUUUAAGUCAGUUGUGAAAGUUUGCGGCUCAACCGUAAAAUUGCAGUUGAUACUGGAUAUCUUGAGUGCAGUUGAGGCAGGCGGAAUUCGUGGUGUAGCGGUGAAAUGCUUAGAUAUCACGAAGAACUCCGAUUGCGAAGGCAGCCUGCUAAGCUGCAACUGACAUUGAGGCGCGAAAGUGUGGGUAUCAAACA
rnacentral:rRNA from 1 species